UUAGGGGGAAGCUUAUCUGGGGAGGUGCUGUAGGUGUUAUUGGCUUAUGCUGGAGACAGCCCCAGGUGACACCUGCUGGGGACAGCCCUAGAUGACAGCUGCUGGGGACAGCCCUGGGUGACAGCUGUUAGUGUGGCUCUGGCUUUGCUGCUGUGCCUCUUUUCUGGUUUGUGUCCCAAGCCAGUCUCAGACUCUGCAACAGGACCGUGACCCCAGGGCUGGGUUUAGACCUAGGAUAUGAGGCAGGUGACAAGAGUGACUGUGCUCUUGCUCUUGGGUACUUUGGGCCUCGCUAAGAUCACCCAGCCCGUAUUCAUCGAGUCCUACGAAGGACAAGAAGUGAACAUACCCUGUAACCACACCAACAUUGCUACAAGUGAGUAUAUCUGCUGGUACCGACAGUUCCUCAACCAGGGACCACAAUUUGUUAUUCAAGGAUUUAAGACAAACGUGGAAAAUGAAGUGGCAUCCCUGUUCAUCUCUGCGGACAGGACAUCCAGCACCCUGAGCCUACCCCAGGCUGCCCUGAGAGACACUGCUGUGUAUUACUGCACCGUGAGUGACUCACACCUGAAUCCUCUCCCCCAACACAUUGACACCCCUGAGAAACCUUACACACGCAGCCAAGGUGGGGCCAUCAUUGCUGGAGUUUCCUGUAAAGAAGCAAAAUGAGAAGAUGAAGCAUGAGUGGGAUUGGUGCUCAGUGAUUCUGGAGGGACGUGGUGACUGUUGACAACACAACUUCUCUGGACCCAAGACUCUACACUCUUCAGAGUAGGGGUGAAGGCAAGUCAGCGACUAGACAAGGAGUCAUGAAGAGACAGCGGGGAGCCCUGCUGGGGCUUCUGUGGGUGCAGGUUUGCUGGGUGAGAGGGAUGGACGUGGAGCAGACACCUGCAGCCCUGAGCCUCCAGGAGGGAGCCAGCUCUACCCUGAGGUGCAAUUUUUCCAGCUCGGUGAACAACGUGCAGUGGUUCCGACAGAACCCCGGGGGCGGC